AUAUCUCAUAAUGCUACCCUGAACAAGCCCUAUCCCGUCUGAUCUUGGAAGCUAAGCAGGGUCGGGCCUGGUUAGUACUUGGAUGGGAGACCACCUAGAUAGAAAGACCAGGUGCUGUAGGUAUA
rnacentral:rRNA from 1 species